rnacentral:rRNA from 1 species
AGGACGAACGCUGGCGGCGUGCUUAACACAUGCAAGUCGAGCGGAAAGGCCCUUCGGGGUACUCGAGCGGCGAACGGGUGAGUAACACGUGAGCAACCUGCCCUUAGCUUCGGGAUAGCUCCGGGAAACCGGAAUUAAUACCGAAUAUGACUUUGGCUGACAUCAGCAGAAGUGGAAAGUUUUUCGGCUAGGGAUGGACUCGCGGCCUAUCAGCUAGUUGGUGAGGUAACGGCCCACCAAGGCGACGACGGGUAGCCGGCCUGAGAGGGCGACCGGCCACACUGGGACUGAGACACGGCCCAGACUCCUACGGGAGGCAGCAGUGGGGAAUAUUGCGCAAUGGGCGAAAGCCUGACGCAGCGACGCCGCGUGGGGGAUGAAUGCCUUCGGGUUGUAAACCCCGUUUCAGCAGGGACGAAGCGAAAGUGACGGUACCUGCAGAGAAGCGCCGGCUAACUACGUGCCAGCAGCCGC